GGGGGGGGGGGGGGGGGGGCGUAGGGCGUGCAAGUCGGACGGCAGCACAGUAAGAGCUUGCUCUUACGGGUGGCGAGUGGCGGACGGGUGAGGAAUACAUCGGAAUCUACUUUUUCGUGGGGGAUAACGUAGGGAAACUUACGCUAAUACCGCAUACGACCUACGGGUGAAAGCAGGGGAUCUUCGGACCUUGCGCGGUUGAAUGAGCCGAUGUCGGAUUAGCUAGUUGGCGGGGUAAAGGCCCACCAAGGCGACGAUCCGUAGCUGGUCUGAGAGGAUGAUCAGCCACACUGGAACUGAGACACGGUCCAGACUCCUACGGGAGGCAGCAGUGGGGAAUAUUGGACAAUGGGCGCAAGCCUGAUCCAGCCAUACCGCGUGGGUGAAGAAGGCCUUCGGGUUGUAAAGCCCUUUUGUUGGGAAAGAAAAGCAGCAGGUUAAUACCCCGCUGUUCUGACGGUACCCAAAGAAUAAGCACCGGCUAACUUCGUG
rnacentral:rRNA from 1 species